rnacentral:rRNA from 1 species
UACGAAGGGGGCUAGCGUUGUUCGGAAUCACUGGGCGUAAAGGGCGCGUAGGCGGCUUUAUAAGUCGGGGGUGAAAGCCUGUGGCUCAACCACAGAAUUGCCUUCGAUACUGUAGAGCUUGAGACCGGAAGAGGUAAGUGGAACUGCGAGUGUAGAGGUGAAAAUUCGUAGAUAUUCGCAAGAACACCAGUGGCGAAGGCGGCUUACUGGUCCGGUUCUGACGCUGAGGCG